CCUACGGGUGGCUGCAGUGAGGAAUCUUGGUCAAUGGACGAGAGUCUGAACCAGCCAAGUAGCGUGAAGGAUGACUGCCCUAUGGGUUGUACACUUCUUUUAUAUGGGAAUAAAACGUUCCACGUGUGGGCUUUUGUAUGUACCAUAUGAAUAAGGAUCGGCUAACUCCGUACCAGCAGCCGCGGUAAUACGGAGGAUCCGAGCGUUAUCCGGAUUUAUUGGGUUUAAAGGGAGCGUAGGUGGAUUGUUAAGUCAGUUGUGAAAGUUUGCGGCUCAACCGUAAAAUUGCAGUUGAAACUGGCAGUCUUGAGUACAGUAGAGGUAGGCGGAAUUCGUGGUGUAGCGGUGAAAUGCUUAGAUAUCACGAAGAACUCCGAUUGCGAAGGCAGCUUACUAAACUGCCACUGACAUUGAUGCUCGAAAGUGUGGGUAUCAAACAGGAUUAGAUACCCGGGUAGUC
rnacentral:rRNA from 1 species